rnacentral:rRNA from 1 species
CCAUGGGAGUUGGUUUUACCCGAAGGCGCUGUGCUAACCGCAAGGAGGCAGGCGACCACGGUAGGGUCAGCGACUGGGGUGAAGUCGUAACAAGGUAGCCGUAGGGGAACCUGCGGCUGGAUCACCUCCUUUCUAAGG